UGGCCCUGAGCUGACAUCCAUGCCCAUCUUCCUCCACUUUAUGUGUGGGACGCCUACCACAGCAUGGCUUGCCAAGCAGUGCUAUGCCCGCACCCGGAAUCCAUACUGGCAAACCUUGGGCCACCGAAGCAGAAUGUGCCAACUUAACCGCUGCACCACCGGGCUGGCCCUGCAAAAUAAUUUCAGGAGCUUCUGGGAAUGUGAUGGACAGGAUGCUUCAACACAUUUGGUGCUCUGUAGUAUAAAAGCUAGCUAACUGCAAACAGUAGGAAGGAAUUACAGCUAUAGUAAAUAGUAUGCUAUAAUGUCUACCAAUGUUGACAUGCAAUUGCCAAGUAGCAAGUAGCAUAAAACAUCAUAACAACAUUACUAUCUUAGCUUUAGAGUCUAAAGAAACUUUAGAAAGUAUCUCAUUUAAUCCUUACAUUUUAUAUACAAUAAAUAAAAAUAGCAAAUACUUGAGUUGUUAUAUCAUGACAGACACUGUUACAAGUGCUUUGACCAUACAACAUCAUUUAAUCUCACUGCCUCUGAGGUAGGUUACUAUUAUUGUUUACAGAUAAGGAAACAGAAUAACAGAGAGGUUAAGUCGUUUGCCCAAGAUCACACAGCUAAUGCCUGGUAGAUUUGAGCUUAGGAAGUCCGACUCCAGAGGUCUAAUUUUUCAAUUGCUACCCUCUAUGGGAACUUUCUAUCUGGAACUUUCACAUUUAAGAUGCUACUAGAAUGUACAUAUUAUUUUACAGUUUAUUUUAAAACUAAUCAUUACAAGCCAUUAUACAUCGUCCCUCAACUCAAAGAAAUAUUAAAACUUUUUGCAUCAUGUUUCCUUUUUUAGUUCUUUUGCAAAAGAGCAUGAGCAAGAACAUCACUUUUCUUUUGGAAUGAAAUGUGUGUUUGGCGAAGGGAAGGAGUUUGGACACCCUGCAUGUUUAUUUCUCAGUCUUGUCACAAACAUCAGUAUAUAGGAUAAAAAACAAUGCUGCCAAACACUCACCAUCAGAGAAUGCCUCAAGCAGAGCGAUACUGGGGCAAAAAGCUAGUUGUCAAUUUUGAUAGAAUGUAAAAGAUUUUAAUGCCUUUAGAUCCAUAAGCACCAGGAAGUGGCAAAAUGGCAAUCAUAAUAGAACAGAAAAACACAAUUCUGAUACGUUCCAAGAUUGGUAAUCGUGUCUGAAGAACUAGGAAGUGGUAAAAAAAGAGAAGAGUUUAAAAAAACACAAAUUCUGAAGUGAUCCAAAAGUUCUAAUUGUGUCAGAUUUUAUGUAAUUUUGGUUUUCUUUAGUAGAUAAUGUAUACUUAAUAAACAUACACAAAUAUUUAUGAUCAUAUAUUGGUUGGACAGAAGACUAAGAAGGAAAUGCAUAGUUUUCAGCGUAUUACUAUGGUUAUCCAUUACCAGGAGCAUGCAUGGAAGCGCAAUGUUACUCGUGAAGCAAAAGCAACGUGAUUUUUGCCCCAGCUGGUUCUGUAUCAAACAAACGCUGCUGGCAGCAGUAAUAAUGACGUGAACAUAAAACCUUCUUUGUCUAACAUUCCUGACAAAUGCUUGAUUGUCCAGGAGAAGCCAUUUGUAUUUUUCUGAAAUCUUGCAGGAUGCCGUGUCACUAUUUUUCAUGAAGAAUUGUCUUUGCCGGGUGUAGGUGUUCUCUAACGCAUGUCUCCAAGGGCUGAUUUCUCUACAGAUAAUCAGCACACGGAUCCUCCGAACCAGCAAAGCAGCGUUGACUCCUCAAACCAACGACACGCCUGCGGGCUCUGGGGAACUUGAAAGAAAAUGAUUUCUACUGGAAAAGACUGCUUGAAAUCAGAAGAGACAACCUUACCUUAGCACGUCAGACUUAUGCAUGAUGAAGAAAGUUACGGUCAUCGCACAUUUGAGCCCUAGUGUAUGAAUUCUGCCUUGGGUAUGUGGGAGAUUGUGGGUGGAAAUUGUGGGCAGAACUUCCUCAUAGAAGGGCCCUACUUUCCUCACCACUCCCCACUGCAGCCUGGCUUGCCAACCCGCCUUCCCCCGAGUCAGAGGCUCCCAAAGCACCCUGUGCUUCUCAUUUGCAGAACCCAUCGCCCUUCUAGUUAUUCCCUUGCCAUUUAUCUUCCUAGCUGGGCUGGGGGCUCCUGGAAUGCUGGGGUGGUCUCUCUCCUUCACCGUCCAAUACCCUGCAUGCAAGACCUGAGGCAAAGCUGCACGUGGAGGCCCUGGGCCUUAGUCCACCCCACUUUCUCCUCCGACCUUGCACACCCCAGCCUUACACACUCAAGCUCCAUCCUCCCCCACCCCACCAUAGCUAGUCCUUUGCCUCCUCCCCAGGGCCAUUUGGACAGGGAAUUCUGGAGUCUUGAGCAUCUGCAUCAUGGCUUCAAAAGGGGGGAAUGGGCCACAGUCAGCUCUCUAGAUUGUGGGGCCCAGGGCAGGAGUAGUGGUUGCCUGGGUGUAAGGGGAAUGUUGCCAACACACAAGAAACAUUGUUGAAUGGAUGAUUAACAGUUACUAUGCUGAAGCGCUGCCACAGACAGAUAGCAUUAAGCCGGACCUCUGGGGGCCCUGAAAACGGGAGGCUAGGCAGCAGGUUCCCCUGGAAGAGAGGGCAGUCUGAGGACAGGCAAUGUAGAGUCUGGAUGAAACACUCACUGUAGCUUAUUGUACUCUUGCUAUUAUUUUUCGUUACUUUUCUGUAAACUUUAAGGGCAUUCGUUGCAGAGAAAGUUCCAUCUACCUGGGUGUCUAUUUAAUAAAGAGAUAAUCUCAGGACUUCUCAGAAAUGACUCAAACCAACAGAAGUUGGACACCCUGAGAAAUAACCUGGCCCUCAAGUUCUUUCCCUGUCUGUCACCAGUCAUUCCGAGAUCCACAUAGCAUUUCUAACUCAUUCUUCACAAUGUAUACAAAGUGUAGAUUACAAACAAGAUUGCAAGGCAAGGUAAAUUCUGUGUUGUUUACCUGGCAGGUAAACUAUGGGGUGGAGGCCAAUUUGUCUUCAUAAAACAAAUAUAAAAUCCAAACAGAAAUGUUUGCUAUAUGAAAACAAAAUCAUCUCUCUUACAACGGGACCAAUGCUAUGAGCGGUUUUGAAGUUAAAGUUCGGGAAUAGCGUGAAAACGGACUGCUGGGAGAAUCUUCACGGAGCAGCACAGAAAGUUCCUGGAGAUGAAUCAGAACUCCGUUUGUUUUCCUCAAUUCUUUUAUCUUAAGGAUACAAGAAUGAUUCUGAGAGAUUUAGACUGUGCCUCACUGUAAAAGGAGAAAAAGAAAAGGGGGGGUGUAUGUUCAGUAGACAGGAACUCCAUUAAAGAACGAAUUGACAAUUACUUAGAAGUCAGGAAGCCAAUUUUAAAAUCAAUAUGUUGCUUGAGAAGGAUAACAUGAUGUAGUGUCAAAGUAGGAAGCAUUAUCAAAGCUACACGUACUUUGCAUCGGUCCUUAAGGAGUCCUGGUCAAUGCUGAGACAGCUGAGAAAGGAGAUCUGAAAGCAGAGUUACAACCUGACCAAAAUCUUUACACUCUACAGACCAAACCGUACAAUACAGAGUGAAGCCAGAGGCAGGUGUGAGUUUCUUUUAUACUCACAUUUGCUUGGUUUUAAUGCAACUGUAAAAGAACACCCCCAUCCGUGCUCUGCCCCCAUCCCUAGAAUAAAUAGCAUAGCUACAAACAAGAACAACCACGGAAUUGGGUCCCUUGCGUCCCGCUCAGAUUCUUGGUGGCACUGCAAAAGGAAAUUUUGAAGGUUAUUAAAGGGGAAGCUGAAAACAAAGGGAGAUUCAAAAUAAAUUGCAUGAAAUGAAUUUUCCUCAUCUCUGCUUUAGUUUGUGAGAAAUUCAGCGUCAUCCACCGAUGUACAUCAUUGAAGAAUAAUUUCAACUUGUUCAUCUGAGGGAGCAGAAAUAUAUUUAAUUUGUGGAAGAAUUAGCCGUAAUUUGCAGUACCGUUUUCACAUUGAGGAGGUGCUCAGCAAAAGUGUACUCUGGGAGGAAGGAAAGGCAGAUGGCUGGAAUGGAACGAUGAAGAAGGAACCAAGGUUCUCUCUUCAAUGUUUGUGAUCUUGCAAAGAAGGUGGCAUUAUCUCCAGUUCACAGAUGAGGAAACUGAGGCACAUGGAAAGUAACAUUCUCAAAAUCCUAUGUUACUGAUUGAUCUGUGAUCUAUUAUUGCUUUCCGUGAGAAAAAAAAUACUGCCAGCUGCCCCCAAAAUUGCCAUAUUCAGGAGAAUGUGGCUGGGGCCUGUGUGACUGUUCCUGAAGGUGUUGCAUUAGAAGGCCACGGCCAUGAUCACUUCCUUGAUGGCAUCCUACACUGAUUGUGUUCCCAGGCUCAUUAUGGAUUGCUAGACAUGGCAGGCUUCUGACUCAUUUGUAACCAACAGAAUGUGGCUAAAGUGACUCUGUGUGACUUCCAAGGCUUGGACAGAAAAGGUGAUUGUGCUUCUGCCUUGCUCUUCCUAACACUUGUGCUGAAACCCUAAGCUAUGGUGCAAGAAGUUCAACUGCCCGAAGCCCUCCUGCUGUAAGGGAGCCCAGGCCAUAUGAAGAGGCCGCGCAUAGGCCUUGCAGCCAACAGCCCACGCUCAUGUCCCAGCCGCCAGCCAUCUCAGAUGCCCAGUCUAGGUCAGCCUCCAGAUGAGUGAGCUUUUAUCCUACUACCAUCUCUAGAGAGACCCCCAAGCAAGAACUGUCCUGCUGAGCCCGUCUUAAAUUCCUGACCUACAACUUUUUGAGAAAAACAAAAAUGGAAAAAUUGGGGUACUUUGCUAUAUAGCAAUAGUAACCAAAACACAUGCUUAAAACAAACAAAUAAACAGACAAACUUGGCAGCAUAGCUGUGAACUCUUUAGGUUCAUUCUAUUUCCUUCUGCAUCAUUUUAAUGGUUUCAUAGCAUUUUUAUUGUUUAGAAAUAACAUACUGUUUUUAAACUCUUCCCCCAGUGUUGAAUACUAGAUUACUUUGCCUUCUAGCUAAACCUUCUGGCUAAAUCUCUGGACAUAUCUAUGAUUUCUUUCUAUUUUUAAAAAUUUUUUUAAAUAAUUUUUUAUUUUUAUUUAUUUUUGAGGAAGGUUAG